UCUUCUCUUCGACCUCUUUCUGCUCUUCCUCCUCACCUUCCUCCUCAUCUCCCUCUUCCUCCUCUUCCUCCUCCUUCCCCUCCCCCUUGCACACUGUCUUCUUCCCCAAGUUAUCAGACGCAGUAGUGGAUAGAUCUGUGGCGCACGUCGAUCAGGUGGCGCGAAGUUAUGUCCAGGGCCUGUGAGGUUGCUGGCAACAAGCAUGUCUGGCCGCCUGACGGGCUGCCCGGCUGACGUGGAGUGCCGCCCCGACGUUCUCCCUUCUUCGCGAAGGAGACAGCACAAGGGCACAAAAAAAAAGGAAACAACAAUAAAAAAAGCCGGCUACUCGCUGCUCCUAUAAAGAAUUCGAAGAGGGUGCCUGAAAGAGCAGUCAAUUACGUGAGAAGAGGUGUCCUGAUACCUUCCUCUUGAAUGAGUUCAAGUCGUAGGCAGGAGGAAAUACAGAUGAAGAAAGAUCGUUCCAGAGUUUACCAGCGUGAGGGAUGAAAAAGUGAAGAUGCUGGUUAACUCGUGCGUAAAGGUGGUGUCACACUAGCACUUUUUCCGUCGAUUAAUGCGAUUUCCGUCGAUUUUUCAUCGUUCCGCAUGAACUUAUCGCAUGAAUUUGUCAGACGAUCAGGAUCGUUUCCGCCUGCAAAUUUCCGCCUUUGUUUACAUUUCCAAGACCAAGACCGAGACUUUCCGCGUGGCUUCAACCUGUCUCAAACGCUCUGCUGCAGUGACAGCCUUCCUCAUCCUGGUGUCAUUUCUGGCAAUAAGAGGUGUCACUAACUCCAGAAGUCUGUGGUACUGGCUCUUGUCCAACCUGAUCCAAUUCUUCAGAGUCUCAUGAUCCUCUAAACUCAGCUCUUUUAACAGCCUAUGGUACACACUUUCUCUUUCCCGACGACCCAACCAUGAGCGCAUCCAUGCACGCUUUUUGGCUUGUUUAGCUCGUCUAAGUCUCACAAUACACAGUAUUAGGUUAAGAGCAGCGUAUCUUUGCCGCAGCGUGGACUCCAUGUUUGUUUACAUUCCUUGGUCUGUGCCGACGGAAAGUUUCAGACGAGACACCGUUUGUGUGUGACAGGCCGCUGCCAAGAUAGCGACGAUUUUCAGAAAAACGACGGAAAAAGUUGACGGAAAAAGUGCUAGUGUGACACCGCCUUCAGGGAUUUGG